rnacentral:rRNA from 1 species
GUCACUGACGAGUUUGAUCCUGGCUCAGGAUGAACGCUAGCGGCAGGCUUAACACAUGCAAGUCGAGGGGUAACAGGGAAGCUUGCUUUCGCUGACGACCGGCGCACGGGUGCGUAACGCGUAUACAAUCUACCUUAUACUGGAGAAUAGCCCUAAGAAAUUGGGAUUAAUGCUCCAUAAUAAUUAGUUAUCACAUGGUAAUUAGUUUAAAGCUAUGGCGGUAUAAGAUGAGUAUGCGUCCUAUUAGUUAGUUGGUGAGGUAACGGCUCACCAAGACAGCGAUAGGUAGGGGGCCUGAGAGGGUUAUCCCCCACACUGGUACUGAGACACGGACCAGACUCCUACGGGAGGCAGCAGUGAGGAAUAUUGGUCAAUGGAGGCAACUCUGAACCAGCCAUGCCGCGUGAAGGAAGAAUGUCCUAUGGAUUGUAAACUUCUUUUUAUUUGGGAAGAAACCCUUCUACGUGUAGAAGGCUGACGGUACCAAAGGAAUAAGGACCGGCUAACUCCGUG